GUGAGGAAUUUUCGGCAAUGGGGGCAACCCUGACCGAGCAACGCCGCGUGCAGGAGGACGCUUUUCGGAGUGUAAACUGCUUUUAUCGGGGAAGAACACAGACGGUACCCGGUGAAUAAGUCCCGGCUAACUACGUGCCAGCAGCCGCGGUAAUACGUAGGGGGCGAGCGUUGUCCGGAGUUACUGGGCGUAAAGGGCAUGUAGGCGGUCUGCUAAGUUCGGAGUGACAGUCACCAGCUUAACUGGUGAAGGACUUUGAAAACUGGUGGACUUGAGAGCGAAAGAGGGACACGGAAUUCCGGGUGGAGUGGUGAAAUGCGUAGAGAUCCGGAGGAACACCAAAGGCGAAGGCAGUGUCCUGGCUCGUUUCUGACGCUGAGAGGCGAAAGCCAGGGGAGCGAACGGGAUUAGAAACCCUUGUAGUCC
rnacentral:rRNA from 1 species